CGUUUAGAGGCCACGCAGCAGCAGGAGAGGGAGGGCGGGAGAGAAAAGAAAUCUUUAUUUCCCUAUGCCCUGCAGUCUUAUAUACAAUUAUAUCUGAUUCCUUAAGAAACCAUCCCAGGCUCAUCAUAAAUUCAUAGAAUUGGAGGAGUAAACAACCUUAAGGACAUGCAGGCCAGUUCCUACCAACACAAGCAUCUCCUCCAGAAGGCACCUGCAGGGCCUCCCAGCUCCUUGGGCACCACUUCUCCACUUGGCCUUCAGAUAGAUGGACAGGUCCUGAAAGGACUAGUAACCCAGGAAAGUUUGGGAUUGUAGUGUGCUUAUUCAGGGAAGAUGCAUCCUAGAGGACACUGUGGAUGGAGAGGGAAGACGCAGACCCUUAACCCCUGCGAUCCUGAGAGAGGACUUCCUUAAGUUACAAAUUCCUGUGGACCAGCUAUUCUUGUUGAUACUCAGACACCCUCUCUCUGCCUCCUCAAUAGACUUAUCAAUAGUUUCCUUUUUAUUGUUAUUAUUAAUAUUCAAAUCAUUAUCUCCCUCACUAGACUAUGAAGUGCUGGAAGGUAGACGACAUAUUUGAUUCAUAUUAGAAUCUCCAAAGAGGCUAUUACAGUCAUUGGCUCUCAGUAAAAAUGUGUGAAUUGGUGGACGGUGAAUGAAUAAAUACAGGAGUAAAUUAAUGGAACGCAUCAAAUUGUUUUCUCAUGCCACUGUGAAAGUGAGAGUUACUUGUAAGACUGAAGUGUUACCUGAGUAGUAGAGGAGUAGGAAGACAGAGGAUUUGAAUGAGUAAAUGAGUUUCAGGAAGUUGUGGCAGCUGUCUUUGGAUGAGCAGUCUCGCUGACUCCUGCUCUGACCACAUCAUGCCAUUUCCUCAACCAACCGAUUCGCUGCUCCUUUGCUUAGGCUUCUGAAGAGAAUGGAUUUUACUCGACACUGGGCUUCUCUCACAGGCAUAGACAAGUUUCCUGUUGAUGUCCACUGGGAUCCAAUGCAGCAUCAUUUGGCUAGAGUUGACAAGUUCACUUUGAGAUGUGGCAAUGUUAAGACUGAGUCUGGGAGCAGCUGCUCUGAUCUCCAGUGUCACUGCACAGAGGCUGGGAAACUGGUUCCCUGGGGAAAGGGAGAAGUGCAUGGAGACACGCUCUCAUCCAGAGUUUUCGACUUGGUGGGAUUUCCCAGCAUGGCUUGAUGAACAGUGCACUGGUCUGCACCCGAGAUCCAAACUCUCGAACCUGGGGCCACCAAAGUGGAGCCCUUAGCACAACCAGAGGCACUUACAACCCAAAAUAUACCAGCCUCUGCACAUGAGGCGCACUAUGAAGGGCACAGACAUAGGAAAACACUCCCUGUGGACGUGGCCUGCCUUGAGACUUCUCCACUUUGAGCUCUAGGACCUUGAAGCAGAUCUGAGAGAACAAAAGAAAACAAAUAGGGAGUAAGAAGUGAGAGAGAAAGCAGUGUAUGCAUGGGCAGGGUCCAGUGGGAGAGGGCGUUUGGACUCAUGGGGGAAAUGGACUAAAGCUGUGGCUGUAGUCUCAGAGAGCUGUGUCCCCUUUCACCUUCCUGGAAUUUCCUCACAUUCUCACCACUAGAUUCAGCAGGAUCAUCAUUGUCAGAAUUCCAAAUCUAAAUGAUCUUACCUUUCGUCCAGGGUCAUUGAGUCACAAUGUUGGAAUGCAUCAUUCCAAGUGUAAAUUCACUUUCAAAGUAUAUUAUGGAAUUAAUUCUGAGCUCAGAGAUGAGCGUUGUGCUGAAGAGCAUUUGAGAGGCACUAACGUCAUGUCG
rnacentral:lncRNA from 1 species